AAUGAACGUUGGCGGCAUGGAUUAGGCAUGCAAGUCGAGCGAGGAGAGUUUUGAAGCUUGCUUUAGAACUCGGACAGCGGCGAAAGGGAGAGUAACGCGUAGUUAUGUGCCCUAGGGUCCGGAAUGGCCACGGGAAACUGUGGGUAAUGCCGGAUAACAUCCCCGGAUCAAAGGUGUGAUUCCGCCCUAGGAGCAGACUGCGUCCUACUAGCUAGUUGGUGGGGUAAUGGCCCACCAAGGCAAUGAUGGGUAGCGGGUGUGAGAGCAUGACCCGUCUCACUGGGACUGAGACACUGCCCAGACACCUACGGGUGGCCGCAGUCGAGAAUCCUCGGCAAUGGGCGAAAGCCUGACCGAGCGAUGCCGCGUGCGGGAUGAAGGCCCUCGGGUUGUAAACCGCUGUCGUAGGGGAGGAAGGUUCCGUGAAGAGCGGAAUUUGACCUAUCCUAGGAGGAAGUACGGGCUAAGUUCGUGCCAGCAGCCGCCGUAAGAC
rnacentral:rRNA from 1 species